UAGUCCACGCCCUAAACGAUGCUAACUCGAUAUUUGGGUCUUGAACCUGAGUGUCUAAGCGAAAGCGAUAAGUUAGCCACCUGGGGAGUACGUUCGCAAGAAUGAAACUCAAAGGAAUUGACGGGGGUCCGCACAAGCGGUGGAGCGUGUGGUUUAAUUCGAUGAUACGCGAGGAACCUUACCAGGGCUUAAAUGUAGGAUGCAUUAGCUAGAGAUAGCUAUUUCUUCGGACUUCUUACAAGGUGCUGCAUGGUUGUCGUCAGCUCGUGCCGUGAGGUGUCAGGUUAAGUCCUAUAACGAGCGCAACCCUUAUCGUUAGUUGCCAGCAAGUAAAGUUGGGGACUCUAGCGAGACUGCCGGUGCAAACCGAGAGGAAGGUGGGGAUGACGUCAAAUCAUCACGGCCCUUACGUCCUGGGCUACACACGUGCUACAAUGGUAUGGACAGAGAGCAGCCACCUGGCAACAGGGAGCGAAUCUACAAACCAUAUCACAGUUCGGAUCGG
rnacentral:rRNA from 1 species